UCGACAUAAUUAUUCUUCAAGAGAUUGUAGACCUCAGUACAAGUCUCUUCCAACUCAAUAUCACAAGUGGUCCAUUCAUACGGGCUAGGGAGAUUGUAAGGUUCUUGCUUCACUUCAGACAAUGGAGUUGGAGGCUCAAUAGGGCCCUCAGGCAAAAUUGCAUCCCAGAUGUCUUUGAAUUGACCUACUGGUUGGGUUUCCCAAAAUUUGUGUUUCUUGCCUGUAGAAAUUGAGUCCCGGAUCCUACGGACUAUGGUUUCCAGUGUGCUAUCAUCCUUGCCAAUCGGUUUUUUCUCAGAAUCGUGAUCUGGGUUUUCUUUAGGAGACCCAGGGGGCGAAUUACUAUUGCUAUCACCCAUGUCAAUAGAUCAAUUUCAACAGCAACUUUCUAUCAAGAAAAAUUAU
rnacentral:misc_RNA from 1 species